ACCCGCUGAACUUAAGCAUAUCAAUAAGCGGAGGAAAAGAAACCAACAGGGAUUGCCCUAGUAACGGCGAGUGAAGCGGCAACAGCUCAAAUUUGAAAUCUGGCCCUCGGGUCCGAGUUGUAAUUUGUAGAGGAUGCUUUUGGUGAAGUGCCUUCCGAGUUCCUUGGAACAGGACGCCUUAGAGGGUGAGAGCCCCGUACGGUUGGACACUAAGCCUCUGUAAAGCUCCUUCGACGAGUCGAGUAGUUUGGGAAUGCUGCUCUAAAUGGGAGGUAAAUUUCUUCUAAAGCUAAAUACCGGCCAGAGACCGAUAGCGCACAAGUAGAGUGAUCGAAAGAUGAAAAGUACUUUGAAAAGAGGGUUAAAUAGCACGUGAAAUUGUUGAAAGGGAAGCGUUUAUGACCAGACCUUUGUCUAGCGGAUCAUCCGGUGUUCUUCACCGGUGCACUUCGCUAGGCUUAGGCCAGCAUCGAUUUCUGUAGGGGGAUAAAGACCAUGGGAACGUAGCUCUCUCCAGGGGAGUGUUAUAGCCCUAGGUGUAAUACCUUUACGGGGAUCGAGGUUCGCGCUUCUGCAGAUGCGAUGCUGGCGUAAUGGUCAUCAACGACCCGUCUUGAAACACGGACC
rnacentral:rRNA from 1 species